rnacentral:lncRNA from 1 species
UGGUGGAGUAUAAGUUUAACAAAACGGUGGAAGUUAUCAGUUAACCGAGUUCACUCUUCAACUUCACUCCAUCGGUUCGAAUCGCUUCCCCAAAUUUCACCGAAGAUUCUCUCACAUCUAAGUUCGUUUGAAAUCAUACACAAUCUCUUGAAUCCAAGAUUUCAAUCGUUUUCUUUGCGUAUAUUUUGAAUUCAUUUUUACUUCAAAUCUGAAAGGUAUUCUCUAUUGCUUUCAUUUUCUGAUAGGAUUUUUAUUUGUAUUUUCAGAUUCAAUUUGAGGUUAUGCUCCAAAUCUGAAAGGUAUUCUCAAUUUCUUCAACUAUUAGGUUUCAAUUUCUUGUUGUUACUUCCUUCCAAGAUUAUUCACAUUUUGUUGCAUUAAAUUAAAUGAGCUAUGAAGUACAUAGAAAUUUUUAUUUUUGAGUACUAUUAAUUUACCAGUUGGGGAGAACCUAUUUUAUAAGUUUAUGAUAAUCUGGAAUUUAACUAUAAGUAAAACCUAUUAAUUAUUGGUUGUUAUUGUUAACAAUUGUAAGAAAUGCAUAGUACUGAUAUAAUGAAUUGAAAGUUGUGUACACAAUAUCAAUUGGGGAUAGAUUUGGAAAAAAUUAACUAAUGUUGGUUUAAAAAUAUAAAACGACAUUUAUUUUGAAAUAAGUUUUUGUUGCUCAAGUGACAAUUAUUUUAGAACAUAGUCCCGUGAACUUAGCUCAGUUGGCAGAGACUUUGCAUUAUAUAUGCAGGGGGCCGGGGUUCGAACCUCAUUCAUCCCGUGAAUUUCUAGCCAUUAGACUACUUGACAAAAAAAAAAAUUAGAAUGGAAAGAGAAACAUGCUAGAGCUUAUAACUUAUCAUUCAUUUGAAGGUUUCUUUGUCACAGUAGUUCACUUUUAUUAAAUUACUUUCAUUUUGUUUUUUAUUCGGCAACAAAGAGCUAGAUGGAACAUAACAAACACAUCAACACAAAAAAAAGCUACAAAAGAUGGCACAACCCAAAACAAAAGACAUAAACCUGUCAAUAACAAAGAA